rnacentral:rRNA from 1 species
GGGUGCGAGCAUACUUGGCCAAACACACCAGCAUAUAUCCUUUCCUAUAUGUGAUGUAAAGCGGCCACAGGUGCCUUUAGUACGGCAAACACCAAUUACAGCACUGGAAUACGGGUGCC